GGAAAGAUGAAAAGAACUUUGAAAAGAGAGUUAAACAGUACGUGAAAUUGUUGAAAGGGAAGCGCUUGUGACCAGACUUGGGCUUGGUUGAUCAUCCGGGGUUCUCCCCGGUGCACUCUUCCGGCUCAGGCCAGCAUCAGUUCGCCCUGGGGGACAAAGGCUUCGGGAAUGUGGCUCUCUCGGGGAGUGUUAUAGCCCGUUGCGUAAUACCCUGUGGCGGACUGAGGUUCGCGCAUUCGCAAGGAUGCUGGCGUAAUGGUCAUCAGUGACCGUCUUGAAACACGGACCA
rnacentral:rRNA from 1 species